CCAACAAAGCUCACACAGAGAGAAGGACAAGACUUCCUUUGGCAUCACCAGGAGCUUCCGCCUCCAUGUGCCAAAGCUGCCCAUCCCACUGAGGCCAGGAGCCAUCGUGAAGCAAUAUAUCCUCAACUCAAGAACAACAUGCAGCGAGUCAGCAUUUCCCUUCCACCAGAGCACCAUAUGGUCAUGACUGUUUGGGCAAAGGGAUGCUUUUAUGAAUUUCUGCUUCCCCUAGCUGUGCCUGCUUUUUGACACGUCUAAAGGGCUGUUUCUGACACCUUGCCAUCCUGCCUGCCACCCCUCCCGCAGUGCUCAUGCCAGGCAGGAGGAAAAAGAUGGUGACCUGGCCAUCGCCACGCUGCCCUAGGCCACUGCCACCCUGCUGGCAGCAGAAGGUCUGUUGGGCUGAAGCCAUGCCAGGAACUCCACCCGCCGCAGCUUGUGAUGUCACAACAGACAUGCUCUCAGAGGACAGAUCUGAUUGGCUCCGAUGGGUUGCCUGUCUCACUUCCUGGGAAAUGCCCUCUCAACAACUUACAGACAUACAAACCUAAUUAAUUAUCACUUUAAUCGAAUGUGAUCUCAGCUUUCUGCCCUUGUAGCUGAUCAGCUGUCUUCACAGAUCAUACAGGAAACCAGAAAUAUGUUCUCCCAUCAUGUGGAGUAAUUUGCAUGUCAUAAUGAUUAAGGAAGAUAAAAAAACAAAACUGACAGCCAGUAUAUGAAGAUUUGUAAUUAAAAUAAAGUUUUUACAACUCA